rnacentral:rRNA from 1 species
UUGAACGCUGGCGGCAUGCCUUACACAUGCAAGUCGAACGGCAGCACGGGUGCUUGCACCUGGUGGCGAGUGGCGAACGGGUGAGUAAUACAUCGGAACAUGUCCUGUAGUGGGGGAUAGCCCGGCGAAAGCCGGAUUAAUACCGCAUACGAUCUACGGAUGAAAGCGGGGGACCUUCGGGCCUCGCGCUAUAGGGUUGGCCGAUGGCUAAUUAGCUAGUUGGUGGGGUAAAGGCCUACCAAGGCGACGAUCAGUAGCUGGUCUGAGAGGACGACCAGCCACACUGGGACUGAGACACGGCCCAGACUCCUACGGGAGGCAGCAGUGGGGAAUUUUGGACAAUGGGCGAAAGCCUGAUCCAGCAAUGCCGCGUGUGUGAAGAAGGCCUUCGGGUUGUAAAGCACUUUUGUCCGGAAAGAAAUCCUUGGCUCUAAUACAGUCGGGGGAUGACGGUACCGGAAGAAUAAGCACCGGCUAACUACGUGCCAGCAGCCGCGGUAAUACGUAGGGUGCGAGCGUUAAUCGGAAUUACUGGGCGUAAAGCGUGCGCAGGCGGUUUGCUAAGACCGAUGUGAAAUCCCCCGGGCUCAACCUGGGAACUGCAUUGGUGACUGGCAGGCUAGAGUAUGGCAGAGGGGGGUAGAAUUCCACGUGUAGCAGUGAAAUGCGUAGAGAUGUGGAGGAAUACCGAUGGCGAAGGCAGCCCCCUGGGCCAAUACUGACGCUCAUGCACGAAAGCGUGGGGGAGCAAACAGGAUUAGAUACCCUGGUAGUCCACGCCCUAAACGAUGUCAACUAGUUGUUGGGGAUUCAUUUCCUUAGUAACGUAGCUAACGCGUGAAGUUGACCGCCUGGGGAGUACGGUCGCAAGAUUAAAACUCAAAGGAAUUGACGGGGACCCGCACAAGCGGUGGAUGAUGUGGAUUAAUUCGAUGCAACGCGAAAAACCUUACCUACCCUUGACAUGGUCGGAAUCCUGCUGAGAGGCGGGAGUGCUCGAAAGAGAACCGGCGCACAGGUGCUGCAUGGCUGUCGUCAGCUCGUGUCGUGAGAUGUUGGGUUAAGUCCCGCAACGAGCGCAACCCUUGUCCUUAGUUGCUACGCAAGAGCACUCUAAGGAGACUGCCGGUGACAAACCGGAGGAAGGUGGGGAUGACGUCAAGUCCUCAUGGCCCUUAUGGGUAGGGCUUCACACGUCAUACAAUGGUCGGAACAGAGGGUUGCCAACCCGCGAGGGGGAGCUAAUCCCAGAAAACCGAUCGUAGUCCGGAUUGCACUCUGCAACUCGAGUGCAUGAAGCUGGAAUCGCUAGUAAUCGCGGAUCGCAUGCCGCGGUGAAUACGUUCCCGGGUCUUGUACUCACCGC